rnacentral:rRNA from 1 species
UACGUAGGGUGCGAGCGUUUGUCCGGAAUUAUUGGGCGUAAAGAGCUUGUAGGCGGUUUGUCGCGUCUGCUGUGAAAAUCCGGGGCUCAACCCCGGACUUGCAGUGGGUACGGGCAGACUAGAGUGUGGUAGGGGAGACUGGAAUUCCUGGUGUAGCGGUGAAAUGCGCAGAUAUCAGGAGGAACACCGAUGGCGAAGGCAGGUCUCUGGGCCAUUACUGACACUGAGAAGCGAAAGCAUGGGGAGCGAACAGG